rnacentral:tRNA from 1 species
CGGCGCAGUGGCCGGACGAAGGUGCGCGCUCAGGGCGCGCCGAUCAGAACACGCUGGCGUAGUCGCCCAGUUCGACCUGCACCGAC